GGCAUGCGUGCCUAAUACAUGCAAGUAGAACGCUGAAGGAGGAGCUUGCUUCUCUGGAUGAGUUGCGAACGGGUGAGUAACGCGUAGGUAACCUGCCUGGUAGCGGGGGAUAACUAUUGGAAACGAUAGCUAAUACCGCAUAAGAGUGGAUGUUGCAUGACAUUUGCUUAAAAGGUGCACUUGCAUCACUACCAGAUGGACCUGCGUUGUAUUAGCUAGUUGGUGGGGUAACGGCUCACCAAGGCGACGAUACAUAGCCGACCUGAGAGGGUGAUCGGCCACACUGGGACUGAGACACGKCCCAGACUCCUACGGGAGGCAGCAGUAGGGAAUCUUCGGCAAUGGACGGAAGUCUGACCGAGCAACGCCGCGUGAGUGAAGAAGGUUUUCGGAUCGUAAAGCUCUGUUGUAAGAGAAGAACGAGUGUGAGAGUGGAAAGUUCACACUGUGACGGUAUCUUACCAGAAAGGGACGGCUAACUACGUGCCAGCAGCCGCGGUAAUACGUAGGUCCCGAGCGUUGUCCGGAUUUAUUGGGCGUAAAGCGAGCGCAGGCGGUUAGAUAAGUCUGAAGUUAAAGGCUGUGGCUUAACCAUAGUAGGCUUUGGAAACUGUUUAACUUGAGUGCAAGAGGGGAGAGUGGAAUUCCAUGUGUAGCGGUGAAAUGCGUAGAUAUAUGGAGGAACACCGGUGGCGAAAGCGGCUCUCUGGCUUGUAACUGACGCUGAGGCUCGAAAGCGUGGGGAGCAACAGGAUUAGAUACCCUGGUAGUCCACGCUGUAAACGAUGAGUGCUAGGUGUUAGACCCUUUCCGCGGUUAGUGCCGUAGCUAACGCAUUAAGCACUCCGCCUGGGGAGUACGACCGCAAGGUUGAAACUCAAAGGAAUUGACGGGGGCCCGCACAAGCGGUGGAGCAUGUGGUUUAAUUCGAAGCAACGCGAAGAACCUUACCAGGUCUUGACAUCCCUCUGACCGCUCUAGAGAUAGAGUUUUCCUUCGGGACAGAGGUGACAGGUGGUGCAUGGUUGUCGUCAGCUCGUGUCGUGAGAUGUUGGGUUAAGUCCCGCAACGAGCGCAACCCCUAUUGUUAGUUGCCAUCAUUCAGUUGGGCACUCUAGCGAGACUGCCGGUAAUAAACCGGAGGAAGGUGGGGAUGACGUCAAAUCAUCAUGCCCCUUAUGACCUGGGCUACACACGUGCUACAAUGGCUGGUACAACGAGUCGCAAGCCGGUGACGGCAAGCUAAUCUCUUAAAGCCAGUCUCAGUUCGGAUUGUAGGCUGCAACUCGCCUACAUGAAGUCGGAAUCGCUAGUAAUCGCGGAUCAGCACGCCGCGGUGAAUACGUUCCCGGGCCUUGUACACACCGCCCGUCACACCACGAGAGUUUGUAACACCCGAAGUCGGUGAGGUAACCGUAAGGAGCCAGCCGCCUAAGGUGGGAUAGAUGAUUGGGGUGAAGUCGUAACAAGGUCAGCCGUUUGGGAGA
rnacentral:rRNA from 1 species